rnacentral:rRNA from 1 species
AACGUAGGAGGCGAGCGUUAUCCGGAUUCACUGGGCGUAAAGCGCGUGCAGGCGGUUCGGUAAGUUGGGUAUGAAAUCUCCUGGCUUAACUAGGAGAGGUUAUCCAAUACUACCGGACUUGAGAGUGGUAGAGGAAGAUGGAAUUCCCGGUGUAGUGGUGAAAUGCGUAGAUAUCGGGAGGAACACCAGUGGCGAAAGCGAUCUUCUGGACCAUUUCUGACGCUCAGACGCGAAAGCUAGGGUAGUAAACGGGAUUAGAAACCCUGUAGUCCCUGAGAC